AUUGAACGCUGGCGGCAGGCCUAACACAUGCAAGUCGAGCGGAUGAAGGGAGCUUGCUCCUGGAUUCAGCGGCGGACGGGUGAGUAAUGCCUAGGAAUCUGCCUGGUAGUGGGGGAUAACGUCCGGAAACGGGCGCUAAUACCGCAUACGUCCUGAGGGAGAAAGUGGGGGAUCUUCGGACCUCACGCUAUCAGAUGAGCCUAGGUCGGAUUAGCUAGUUGGUGGGGUAAUGGCCUACCAAGGCGACGAUCCGUAGCUGGUCUGAGAGGAUGAUCAGUCACACUGGAACUGAGACACGGUCCAGACUACUACGGGAGGCAGCAGUGGGGAAUAUUGGACAAUGGGCGAAAGCAUGAUCCAGCCAUGCCGCGUGUGUGAAGAAGGUCUUCGGAUUGUAAAGCACUUUAAGUUGGGAGGAAGGGCAGUAAGUUAAUACCUUGCUGUUUUGACGUUACAAACAGAAGAAGCACCGGCUAACUUCGUG
rnacentral:rRNA from 1 species